rnacentral:rRNA from 1 species
CCUACGGGAGGCAGCAGUGAGGAAUAUUGGUCAAUGGCCGGAAGGCUGAACCAGCCAAGCCGCGUGAAGGACGAAGGUGCCAAGCAUUGUAAACUUCUUUUGUCAAGGGACAAAAUCAGGCUCGAGAGCCUGACCGCGGGUACUUGAAGAAAAAGCAUCGGCUAACUCCGUGCCAGCAGCCGCGGUAAUACGGAGGAUGCGAGCGUUAUCCGGAUUUAUUGGGUUUAAAGGGUGCGUAGGCGGACUGUUAAGUCAGCGGUAAAAGCCCGGGGCUCAACCCCGGCGAGCCGUUGAAACUGGCUGUCUUGAGAUGUCGAGAGGUAUGCGGAAUGCGCAGUGUAGCGGUGAAAUGCUUAGAUAGUGCGCAGAACUCCGAUUGCGAAGGCAGCAUACCGGCGGCAAACUGACGCUGAGGCACGAAAGCGUGGGUAUCGAACAGGAUUAGAUACCCUUGUAGUC